AUUGAACGCUGGCGGCAUGCCUUACACAUGCAAGUCGAACGGCAUCGCGGGAAAGCUUGCUUUCCUGGCGGCGAGUGGCGAACGGGUGAGUAACACAUCGGAACGUACCGGCUAGGGGGGGAUAACCCGUCGAAAGACGGGCUAAUACCGCAUACGCUCUUCGGAGGAAAGCAGGGGACCUUUGGGCCUUGCGCUAGCCGAGCGGCCGAUGUCCGAUUAGCUAGUUGGUGGGGUAAAGGCCUACCAAGGCGACGAUCGGUAGCGGGUCUGAGAGGACGAUCCGCCACACUGGGACUGAGACACGGCCCAGACUCCUGCGGGAGGCAGCAGUGGGGAAUCUUGGACAAUGGGGGCAACCCUGAUCCAGCAAUGCCGCGUGGGUGAAGAAGGCCUUCGGGUUGUAAAGCCCUUUCGGCAGGGAAGAAAUCGGCGGGGCGAAUAACCCUGCUGGAUGACGGUACCUGCAGAAGAAGCACCGGCUAACUACGUG
rnacentral:rRNA from 1 species